rnacentral:rRNA from 1 species
CCUAGUAACUGCGAGUGAAGCGGGAAAAGCUCAAAUUUGAAAUCUGGCAGUCUUUUUUUUCUUCUUUGGCUGUCCGAGUUGUAAUCUAGAGAAGUGCUUACCUGCACUGGACCAUGUAUAAGUCUCCUGGAAUGGAGCGUCACAGAGGGUGAGAAUCCCGUCUUUGACAUGGACCGCCAGUGUGUUGUGGUGUGCUCUCAAAGAGUCGAGUUGUUUGGGAAUGCAGCUCUAAAUGGGUGGUAAACUCCAUCUAAAGCUAAAUAUUGGCGAGAGACCGAUAGCGAACAAGUACCGUGAGGGAAAGAUGAAAAGGACUUUGGAAAGAGAGUUAAACAGUAUGUGAAAUUGUUGAAAGGGAAACGCUUGAAGUCAGUUAUGUUGGCUAGGGAUCAACCUAGCUGUUUUUUGCUGGGUGAAUUUCCUAGUCUGACAGGCCAACAUCAGUCUUGACUGCUGGAAAAGAGCAGAGGGAAUGUGGCACCUUUGGGUGUGUUAUAGCCUUUUGUCAUAUGUGGCAGUUGGGACUGAGGGAUGCASCAUGCCGCGAGGCUGGGUUUCUGACCACGUUCAUGCUCAGGAUGUUGGCUUUUAAUGGCUUCAAUCGACCCGUCUUGAAACACGGACCAAGGAGUCUAACAUGCCUGCGAGUGUUUGGGUGGGGAAAACCCUUGUGCACAAUGAAAGUGAAAGUUGAGAUCCCUGUCAUGGGGAGCAUCGACGCCCGGACCUGAGCUUUUAGCGACGGAUCCGCGGUAGAGCAUGCAUGUUGGGACCCGAAAGAUGGUGAACUAUGCCUGAAUAGGGCAAAGCCAGAGGAAACUCUGGUGGAGGCUCGUAGCGAUUCUGACGUGCAAAUCGAUCGUCAAAUUUGGGUAUAGGGGCGAA